UACGUAGGGCGCAAGCGUUGUCCGGAAUUAUUGGGCGUAAAGAGCUCGUAGGCGGCUUGUCGCGUCGACUGUGAAAACCCGCGGCUCAACUGCGGGCCUGCAGUCGAUACGGGCAGGCUAGAGUUCGGUAGGGGAGACUGGAAUUCCUGGUGUAGCGGUGAAAUGCGCAGAUAUCAGGAGGAACACCGGUGGCGAAGGCGGGUCUCUGGGCCGAUACUGACGCUGAGGAGCGAAAGCGUGGGGAGCGAACAGG
rnacentral:rRNA from 1 species